ensembl:lncRNA
GCCCCUCUCCAGCUGUCAGUGUAUGGGCAUGGUCAUUCUGGCCCCGCCUCUACCUUAUUGGCUGCAUGCUCGUAAGCACCUUGGUACAAAUGCAAGAGACUCGUGGACUUUCCCAGAGGUCCAGUGGUUAAGACUCUUCCCUUCUAGUGUAGGGGGCAGCAGUUCCCAUCCCUGGUUGGAGGACUAAGAUCCCACCUGUGCAGUGAAACAACUCCCUCCCCGUCCCCCAACAACUACUGAGCCCUCCCUCAGCGACAAGAGAAGUCUGAAAGCCACAACUAGAGAGUGGCUCUGCUUGCCGCAACUAAAGAAAGCCUGUGCACCACAAAGAAGAGGCCACCUGCUGCAACAAAGACCCAUUGACUGAAACAUUCGCUCAGUUAUGUCCAACUCUUUGGUACCCUAUGGACUGUAGCCUGCCAGGCUCCUCCGUCCAUGGAAUUCUCCAGGCAAGAAUACUAGAGUAGGUAACCAUUCUCUUUGCCAGGGGAUCUUCCUGACCCAGGAUUGAACCUGGGUCUCCUGCAUGGCAGACAGAUUCUUAACUGUCUGAGCCACCAGGGAAGCUUAACAAAGACCCAAUGCAGUCAAAAUAAAAAGGAAGAAAGAAAGAAAGAAUUGUUAGCAUAGGGCAUGAGGUGAAGGUUUUUUUCCUUUCUUUUUUUGUCCAUGGAUAUCAAAUUGCUGCGCUCAAUAUGUCAGCAAAUAUGGAAAAUUCAGCAGUGGGCACAGGACUGCAAUAGGUCAGUUUUCAUUCCAGUCCCAAAGAAUGUUCAAACUAUUGUACAAUUACACUCAUUUCUCAUGCUGGUAAGGUUAUGCUCAAAAUCUUUCAAGUUAAAACAACAACAACAAAAUCUUUCAAGUUAGGCUUCAGGAGUAUGUGAACUGAGAGCUUCUAGAUGUACAAGCUGGGUUAGGAAAGGCAGAGGAACCAGAGAUCAAAUUGUCAAUGUUUAUUGAAUCAUAGGGAAAACAAGGGAAUUCUAGUAAAACAUCUAUUUCUGCUUCAGUGACUAUGUGAAAACCUUUAACUAUAUGGAUCAUAGAAAACGUGAAAAAUUCUUAAAGAGAUGGGAAUACCAGACAACUUUACCUGUCUCCUAGGAAGCCUGUAUGAAGGUCAAGAAGCAACAGUUAGAACAGGAUAUGGAACAAUGAACUGUUCAAAACCGGGGAAGGAAUAUGACAAGGCCUCAUACUGCCACCUUCUUUAUUUAACUUAUAUGCGAAGUACAUCAUUUGAAAUGCCAGGCUGGAUGAAUCACAAGCUGGAAUCAAGAUUGAUGAGAGAAAUAUCAACAACCCCAGAUAUGCAGAUGAUACAACUCUAAUGGAAGAAAGGAAAGAGGAAAUAAAGAGCCUCUUGAUGAGAAU